CUACCGGUAAUGCACAGCCUGAUGCACUUCCCUCAAUGCAGGGCACCUUGCCACACUUCAUCCAAGAGCCAGAGGACGCCUACAUCGUCAAGAGCAACCCCAUUAAGCUGCACUGUCGAGCCGCACCCGCCUUACAGAUAUUCUUCAAAUGCAACGGAGAAUGGGUGCACCAGAAUGAACACUUUUCCCAGGAGUAUAAGGACCUCAAAACUGGUAAGUUAAAGGGGCGUGAGGUGAUCAUCAAUGUGU